rnacentral:lncRNA from 1 species
CACGAUCAGCGCGAAGAGAAGAGCAUUUUGUCUCUCGGGGCCUCGCCGGAGUGUCGCCGGCCGGUCACCGGACUGCUGCCGCCGACCGCCGUGCACGGUGGCCGAAAAAUCAUCCUUUCCCAGAAAUUUGCAACGAUCACAUCAUUCAACUCAAAAUUCACCCAGGCGUCCAUUUUUGGCGUUAAUUUAGUGAGAUCGGUCCUUGAUUGGCCGGAUCGGGCUCGACAGCCGCUACAUCUCCUCCGCGCAAGGUUGCUCUCCAACACGUCGAUAAAUCCACAAAUUGUUAGAGGGAAUUUACUCACAGCGUGGUAGAGAGUCGAUUAACACCCAUUUCCUCCGCUGGGGUCGCCGGAAAUGGUGGGAUCGCCAAAGAUGGAAGAGGAGACAGUCGCGUGGGAGAAAUCUCCAUCCGCGCCGCUGCAGGUCCGUUCAACGUGAAGGGAGGCUGGAAUUGAGACCACUGGCGCCGGACGAACCGAUCGCCACUCCGUUCUGGUCGAGUGGUGGUCGGAGAUUGAAAGGAGAGGGAGGAGGGUGCUGUCGCGCGAGGAAGAAGAAGGAGAGAAAGGAAAGGAAAGAAAAGAAAGAAAAAGAAAAGAAGGGAAGGAAAGUGGG